UACGUAGGGUGCAAGCGUUGUCCGGAAUUAUUGGGCGUAAAGAGCUCGUAGGCGGUUUGUCGCGUCGGCUGUGAAAUCGUGGGGCUCAACCCCGCGCCUGCAGCCGAUACGGGCAAACUAGAAUUCGGUGGGGGAGACUGGAAUUCCUGGUGUAGCGGUGAAAUGCGCAGAUAUCAGGAGGAACACCGGUGGCGAAGGCGGGUCUCUGGGCCGAUAUUGACGCUGAGGAGCGAAAGCGUGGGGAGCAAACAGG
rnacentral:rRNA from 1 species